rnacentral:rRNA from 1 species
GGGUCAGUAGGUUGGUCGUGCCACCGGUACGUACUGGUCUCACUGAUUCCUCCUUCCUGAAGAACCGUAGUGCCAUUAAUUUGGUGUUGCGGGGAAACAGGACUGUUACUUUGAAAAAAUUAGAGUGUUUAAAGCAAGCUAACGCUUGAAUACAUUAGCAUGGGAUAAUGAAAUAGGACGAUCGAUCCUAUUUUGUUGGUUUCUAGGAUUGACGUA